CUGUCAUCCCACCCCCAUCCUAGUCCUUGACCCCUUAGUCCCACUCUUUUUUUUUAAUUUAUUUUUUAUUUUUUAAAAUUUACAUCCAAAUUAGUCAGCAUAUAGUGUAACAAAGAUUUCAGGAGCAGAUUCCUUAGUGCCCCUUACCCAUUUAGCCCAUCCCCCCUCCCACAACCCCUCCCAUUAACCGUCAGUUUGUUCUCCAUAUUUCUAAGUCUCUUCUGUUUUGUCUCCCUCCCUGUGUUUAUAUUAUUUUUAUUUCCCUUCCCUUAUGUUCAUCUGUUUUGUCUCUUAAAGUCCUCAUAUGAGUGAAGUCAUAUGAUUUUUGUCUUUCUCUGACUGCCCUUAGUCCCACUCUUAUCCUCCUUUGCCUUGUGGCGAAAGGACUCUGAUGAAUUGUUCGAGACAAUUUAAACUUAUGCCAAAACGUGUAAUUAGGGGAAAUCGUAUUCAGCGGAUUGGUUUUGGAAAUUAGAUCAUGGAGAGUCGGUUAUUCAGAACUUUGGCUUUGAGGCAUUGAGAAAAUCCCAGCGCCGGACGAUGCUGUUGGAGGGGUAGCCCCCGUUACACUGAGUGCCGCUAGAUGACGCCCAAGAGGGCAAAGUCCUCAUCCGGGCCCCUGGGUCCCUUGCAGAAGGAGGUCCUGCAGGUUUCCGCUUCCUCUGGUGAGAUGCAGGUCCGCACUCAGAAUUGCACGGUGAGUUCAUGGGCAGAGCUAGAGACCUACAGCUUCCUGCCUUAAAAAUGUGGUGGAAGAGAGAAUUGCGAAUGAGGCGGUUUCCUCUGGGUGGUCACGCGGGAGGGUUCCGAUGGGGCUUUCGGGAAGCCGCUAAAGAGCAGCCGCUGGAGGCGGUCCCGGAGGCGCGGGGAUGUCCAGCCUCGCUGAGAGUUUGGCUUCUGCUUCUUUCUUGGCCGGGUGGCGGCAGGGCUGUUCACUGGCGAGCGGAGAGGAAAGGGAAGGGAAAAAAGGAACAGCUGCUUCUGAAGAGGUCUCUGCAUACUCCCAGAGCUGCUCACGUCCUGCUCCACAUGCAGCCGCCAGUGCCCUCUCCUGUCCCUGCGCUGGUCCCCUUCCCUGCCCGUGAGCUCCGCAGAUAACUCAGCCUGCUCUUCUCCCCUUCCCCAAGGGCACCAACUCUUCCCUGAACUUGGUGCUCAUUCCCACCUGGGUCCUCACGGAGCAGCCUGAGGAAUGCAACCCAGCACACCCCGUGGCAGCCCGCUGGAGCGCCCGGAACCAGAGGAAUGUGGAAGAGGGACAGCCCCCUUCCAGCUUGCCCUCGACCUGUCUGGUCUUGGGGACGGACCGUGAUGUGCAUCGUGAUCCUGUAGCACCGAGUGCGUACAGGCAAGUCAGGACAGCCACCUGGGUCACCUCCUGUGAUCCACGUGCCAGUGGGAGGUGGGAGGUGAGUGCGUGGAGGAGGUGGGUGUGCAGGGAACAAAUGAAACCCCACAGCUGCUGGCCGCUGGGCUUCAGGGAGACCCCAGUCCUCCCCUGUUACCCUACGGUCUUCUGGGAAGCAGUGCCCGUGGCUCUAUUUCCCUCUCCGUUUGUGUAGGGAAGGAAAUGAGAUGACACAGGGAGGGGCUGUUUGAAAUGGGGAGGCACUCGUGGUGUUACUGUCCUGGAAUGCUCUUACCCUGUCCCGUUUGGGGGAGGGCUUUCUCUGUUUGCUUACUGCUGGGGGCUCAUCUACAGAAAUAUCCCAGCAGGGGAUAUCCGGAGAAGGCACGGGGGGGGGGGGGCUCGGGCAGGAGCAGGUGCCUAGAGCACACCUGUGCUGAUUCAGGAGUAUCCGGCUUAGGUGAAAGUUGGUGUCGUGAGACUGGGGCUGGGGCUCCUUGGCUUUGACGUUGACCUCUGCCCGCCCACUGCAGCUGGGCUGCCCCUGGGGCAGCCCACAGGUCAUCACCUUCAGCUAUGACUCUGGGCAGGUAAGUCAGGACACAAGACGCCACUUUCCCCUCCGCUCCCGUUGGCAGCGUGCGCUUGAGGUCUGGGAGCUGCACGGGGCCGUCUACACGCACGGCUCCACCACCGGUCUGUGUUCCUGCCCCAGGCGGACGGGCUGAGGUGUCUGAAGCGAACGUGCCAAGGACCUUGACGAGUUCUGGCUGCACAGGCACGUCCUGCCAGGCGGAGCAAAGAUAGCAGGAAACUUCGCGGAGAAUUUGGCGAGAAGUCCAGUAGAAGUGAUCCUUGACGCCCCUCCUCCACCUCUUCCCGGCCUCUUUAUUUAUCCAUUUUUAACUUCUAGACAUAACGGACAUUUUUACAAAGGCUACACGUUGUAUUUGCCAGGUUUUGAUUGAAGCAUGAUUUGCAGGACAUGAAAAGCACAGAUCCUGAACGUCCAGUAGGAUGAGUUGACAAAUGCGUUCACCUCUGUCACCCACAUCGCCAUAAGAUAUGGGAUGUCUCUACGGAGCCCCGAGCUUCCCCUUCGACUCUCUGCAAUUCACUACCCACCCGGCUGGAUUCUGCUCAUGAGCUGGCGGUGAGGUCAGGACAAGUCCCUAGCAAGGCAAAGACCCUACGUUUCGUAAUCUGAUCAGUGUGUUCCUAUAUUUUACUACCAGUAGUUCUGAACUGUCAGCUCACACAGCCUUCUAUUGUGGUUUCUUUUUCUUUCUUUUUUUAAUUUUUUUAAAUGUUUUUAUUUAUUUUUGAGACAGAGACAGAGCAUGAGCAGGAGAGGGGCAGAGAGAGACGGAGACACAGAAUCAGAAGCAGGCUCCAGGCUCUGAGCUGUCAGCACAGAGCCCGAUGAGGGGCCCGAACUCAUAGACCAUGAGAUCAUGACCCGAGCUGAAGUUGGACGCUUAACCGACUGAGCCACCCAGGCGCCCCGGUUUAUUUUUCAAUAAUAGUUCCCUACGACCUUUGGUGCAACAGUGGGCAUUAGCCCCCCAGGAAGAGCGAACCCUGUUCCCUGGCUCAAGACAGGGAGGGAGGCACAUGUGAUCUGUCUUGUGCUUGGCCUAGUUCAGGGACUCCAUAAAUUUCCUUGAAACAGUGACUAAGAGUCAACGCUGGGAACAAAGAAGGGCUUAAUCAUUUACUGGGCUCAGACCUUGUGGCUCACCUCCAGAGGUGAGAGGCAGAGAGAGUCAGAGGCAUCGCCCAGGCGGCAAGCAGGAGUCCCCGCUUGUGCAGCACGAGCAUGGAGUCUGGGAAGGGUGAGAAAGCUGUGUUUGUCACGUGCUGGUGAGCCGCUGAAGUGAGGCGGGUGGUCUCCUGCCCUCACACAGAGGAGGGUCUGCUGCUUGGACACCUGGGGCCUGGCUGACCCUGGAGGGUCUGUCCCUACUCCAAACGCUUUCGUGUAUGAGCCCACCAGACCAGAGCCCACAGCCCAGCCACCUCCACCAUCAGACUCUCACACUCGGGGCCACUGUGCACCUGCUGUAUUAACCCCAGGUUAUGGGCCAGACAAGGAGGGUCCUGAAGCCCACGGUUAUUCAGACCACCCAGUCCUAAACCUGUGUCGCCCACCUCACCCACUCCUUCCCGUGGGAACCACCACAAAAACCUGUGCCCACAGUCCCCUGCACCUCUGCCCACUGACUGGCCCUGCUCCCCUCAUGGCACAAGGGAUGCCCUCUUCCUUUUGGGAAUAGUAAUAAAACUCUAUUUACGAUGGCACUCAUCUCCUGAUCAGUUGACCUCAUCAUUCCUGAAUAAUAAUAAAACCUACCUUUUAAAAACAUGGAUGUAAACCAACU